rnacentral:rRNA from 1 species
GACGAACGCUGGCGGCGUGCUUAACACAUGCAAGUCGAACGGAAAGGCCCUGCUUGCAGGGUACUCGAGUGGCGAACGGGUGAGUAACACGUGGGUGAUCUGCCCUGCACUUCGGGAUAAGCCUGGGAAACUGGGUCUAAUACCGGAUAGGAGCCAUUUUUAGUGUGAUGGUUGGAAAGUUUUUUCGGUGUAGGAUGAGCUCGCGGCCUAUCAGCUUGUUGGUGGGGUAAUGGCCUACCAAGGCGGCGACGGGUAGCGGGCCUGAGAGGGUGGACGGCGACAUAGGGACUGAGAUACGGCCCAGACUCCUACGGUGGGCAGCAGUGCGGAAUAUUGCACGAUGAGCGCCAGCCUGAUGCAGCGACGCCGCGUGGGGGAUGACGGCCUUCGGGUUGUAGACUCCUUUCGCUAGUGACGAUGCAUUUUGUGACGGUACCUAGAUAGGAAGCCCCGGCUAACUACGUG